CUAGUUCCAUCCAUUUGCAUGCACAUUUCAAGAUGUCAUUGUUUUGUUUGUUUUUUGUUUGUUUUUUGUUUGUUUGUUUUCCUCUGACUAGUACUUCAAUGUGAAAAUAUGCCAUAUUUUCAUUAUCCAUUGUUCAGGUGAGGGUCAUCUAGGUUGUUUUCAGUUCAUGGUUAUUACAAAUAAUGCUGCUAUGAACAUAGCUGAACAGAUGUCCUUGUUGUAUGAUUGAGCAUCUUUUGGGUAUAUGCCCAGCUCUCUGGUACCAACUUCUGUUAUUGUGUUUGACCUGAUGAUAUAGCAAGUCUGAUAAAGAAAGCAUUUAGUUGGAGCUUGCUACCUUGUGAGAAGUUACCCCCAUCAUCUUGGUAGGGGCCAUGGAGACAUGCAAGCAGACAUAGUGGUGGAGGAAUGGUUGAGAGUUCCUUGGGAUCUGUAGGGAACAGAAAGAGUGAAGCACUGGGCCUGCAUUUGGCUUCUGAAAUCUUAAAAUGCCCGCUAUGACACACUUCCUUUAAUAAGGUCAUACUUCUUAAUCCUUUUCAAAUAGAACCACUCCCAAUUGACUAAGUGUUCAGAUAUUGGCAUCUUUCUUGUCAGUUCUUAUUCAAACCACCAAACAUGGUAAGAUGACUAAGGAAAGAGUUGCUUGAAGCAGGUGCUCAUGUUCCACCCAUAGUCAGAAAGCAGGAGACAGAAGAAUUAUUGUUUUCAGGCAAUUUUCUUCCAUAUACUAUGCAGGAUCUCACCAAAUAAAUGCUCCCAACCACAAUCAACAGGUUUCUGGCCUCAAUUAAUCAAUAUAACCUCUGCAUCUUCAUUUGAAUUUUUAUACUGAAAAGUUCUUAAUUUAAAUAUUAAGUUCCUUAGUAAGUAAUUUAAUGACCCAACUCAAAGAUAUAGAAAAAAAAGGAUGAGCCUAUUUUAAAUACAGCAUAGAUGAGAACUAAUGAAUAAUAAAAAUUAGGAUAGAAUUCAUGAAGUAAAAUCUUUAAUAAUAAAAGAAUUAAUCAAACAGUUGGUUCUUUAAUAAGUUGAAUGAGAUUCCUGAUGCCUAAUCAAAGUUAACAGAAAGGGGGUGAAUGAGAAACUUGAGUGAAGAGAGACCCAGACUAAAUUAAUAAAACUCAGUACAGAAGGAAGUGAUUAAAUCAGGUUCCAUUGAAAUCCACAAGAUCAUCAGGACAAACUUCAAAAUAUUAUAUUUCAACAAGUUAGGAAAUAUAGUAAAGAAUAAAUUACUGAAUACUUAUGGAUGACUCAAAAAAUAGCCAGGAAAAAAAUCACCCUGAGCAGACACAUCACAACUAUACUCAUCAGACUCAAUGUUCCUCUUUUCUACUUCCUGUGCAUCUCUUUAUCUGUCCUCCUGACUCCCGCUUACUCUCUUUAGUUUUGUCCUAUGUUCACUUCCUCUCACCUGUUUUCUUGCUCUGCAUUUUGACUUAUGGUUGAUUUUAUUUAGCCCUGUUUACAAUAUUCAAGGAGAAUGCUCUUGUGUUAAGUGUGUGUGUGUGUGUGUGUGUGUGUGUGUAGAGUUGAGCCACAAUAUAACAAACAAGCAGGUUUUCCAGUGAAUAAGGCAAUCUUAGGGUAAACAAUGUGACCAAAUAUCCUACAACACUGUUCACCUUCACUAAAUAUUUAUGCUAUAAGAAAUAAGUUAUAAGGUGUAUAUGUUGGACAAGAUUACUGCUAGAGCCAUAAGUAGCUUUCUACAUAAUAUAAAUUCACUAGGGGUGAAUCAGAAUGGAAUUUCAAUAAAAGUCAUUACACAAUUUAUAUCUGUAAGUUUUCUCAACAAAGAAAACUUCCUGAUAUGAAGGUGUGUCAUAUAACCUAUCAUUGGUGUUUGUAAUAGUUUCCCUUAAAUAUGAUUUUCUCAUGUUCCAUGUAAUCAGAUUUGAUUUACUUUUGUUUUACAGGAUUCUUCUCCAGUAUGAUCUUUUUGGUGUUAAAUUGCUGAUAAAAAGCAAUAAAGUCUUUAUAAUAUUCUUUGGAACAGUGUUUUUUAGUGUAAUUGUUGAGGGUGAGGAAACCUGGAAUGAACAUUGUCUAACACCGUGGUGAUCUUCUGCUUGUGUAUGGAUGCAACGUCACCUGAAUCUCACCUCCACCCCAAAUCCUCAGCAUUGUGCAGGCUCUCAUUCUGAGCUUUGUCUCUUGGUGAAUAAAGCCCUCCUUAUGAAA